AAUGGAAGAACCAGCUGGCCUAUCCAUUGCCGUAAGGUAUUGGUAAACCGUUGAAACUCUUCCGUGACCGGGAUAGGGAAUUGUAGUUAUUUCCCUUGAAC
rfam:Angiostrongylus cantonensis strain Taiwan genome assembly, scaffold: ACAC_contig0000082